UACGGGGGGGGGCAAGCGUUGUUCGGAAUUACUGGGCGUAAAGGGCUCGUAGGUGGCCAACUAAGUCAGACGUGAAAUCCCUCGGCUUAACCGGGGAACUGCGUCUGAUACUGGAUGGCUUGAGAUUGGGAGAGGGAUGCGGAAUUCCAGGUGUAGCGGUGAAAUGCGUAGAUAUGCGGAGGAACACCGAUGGCGAAGGCAAUCCCCUGGGCCUGCACUGACGCUCAUGCACGAAAGCGUGGGGAGCAACAGG
rnacentral:rRNA from 1 species